rnacentral:rRNA from 1 species
GGUUAAGCGACUAAGCGUACACGGUGGAUGCCCUGGCAGUCAGAGGCGAUGAAGGACGUGCUAAUCUGCGAUAAGCGUCGGUAAGGUGAUAUGAACCGUUAUAACCGGCGAUUUCCGAAUGGGGAAACCCAGUGUGUUUCGACACACUAUCAUUAACUGAAUCCAUAGGUUAAUGAGGCGAACCGGGGGAACUGAAACAUCUAAGUACCCCGAGGAAAAGAAAUCAACCGAGAUUCCCCCAGUAGCGGCGAGCGAACGGGGAGCAGCCCAGAGCCUGAAUCAGUGUGUGUGUUAGUGGAAGCGUCUGGAAAGGCGCGCGAUACAGGGUGACAGCCCCGUACACAAAAAUGCACAUGCUGUGAGCUCGAUGAGUAGGGCGGGACACGUGGUAUCCUGUCUGAAUAUGGGGGGACCAUCCUCCAAGGCUAAAUACUCCUGACUGACCGAUAGUGAACCAGUACCGUGAGGGAAAGGCGAAAAGAACCCCGGCGAGGGGAGUGAAAAAGAACCUGAAACCGUGUACGUACAAGCAGUGGGAGCACAGAGCAAUCUGUGUGACUGCGUACCUUUUGUAUAAUGGGUCAGCGACUUAUAUUCUGUAGCAAGGUUAACCGAAUAGGGGAGCCGAAGGGAAACCGAGUCUUAACUGGGCGUUAAGUUGCAGGGUAUAGACCCGAAACCCGGUGAUCUAGCCAUGGGCAGGUUGAAGGUUGGGUAACACUAACUGGAGGACCGAACCGACUAAUGUUGAAAAAUUAGCGGAUGACUUGUGGCUGGGGGUGAAAGGCCAAUCAAACCGGGAGAUAGCUGGUUCUCCCCGAAAGCUAUUUAGGUAGCGCCUCGUGAAUUCAUCUCCGGGGGUAGAGCACUGUUUCGGCAAGGGGGUCAUCCCGACUUACCAACCCGAUGCAAACUGCGAAUACCGGAGAAUGUUAUCACGGGAGACACACGGCGGGUGCUAACGUCCGUCGUGAAGAGGGAAACAACCCAGACCGCCAGCUAAGGUCCCAAAGUCAUGGUUAAGUGGGAAACGAUGUGGGAAGGCCCAGACAGCCAGGAUGUUGGCUUAGAAGCAGCCAUCAUUUAAAGAAAGCGUAAUAGCUCACUGGUCGAGUCGGCCUGCGCGGAAGAUGUAACGGGGCUAAACCAUGCACCGAAGCUGCGGCAGCGACGCUUAUGCGUUGUUGGGUAGGGGAGCGUUCUGUAAGCCUGUGAAGGUGUGCUGUGAGGCAUGCUGGAGGUAUCAGAAGUGCGAAUGCUGACAUAAGUAACGAUAAAGCGGGUGAAAAGCCCGCUCGCCGGAAGACCAAGGGUUCCUGUCCAACGUUAAUCGGGGCAGGGUGAGUCGACCCCUAAGGCGAGGCCGAAAGGCGUAGUCGAUGGGAAACAGGUUAAUAUUCCUGUACUUGGUGUUACUGCGAAGGGGGACGGAGAAGGCUAUGUUGGCCGGGCGACGGUUGUCCCGGUUUAAGCGUGUAGGCUGGUUUUCCAGGCAAAUCCGGAAAAUCAAGGCUGAGGCGUGAUGACGAGGCACUACGGUGCUGAAGCAACAAAUGCCCUGCUUCCAGGAAAAGCCUCUAAGCAUCAGGUAACAUCAAAUCGUACCCCAAACCGACACAGGUGGUCAGGUAGAGAAUACCAAGGCGCUUGAGAGAACUCGGGUGAAGGAACUAGGCAAAAUGGUGCCGUAACUUCGGGAGAAGGCACGCUGAUAUGUAGGUGAGGUCCCUCGCGGAUGGAGCUGAAAUCAGUCGAAGAUACCAGCUGGCUGCAACUGUUUAUUAAAAACACAGCACUGUGCAAACACGAAAGUGGACGUAUACGGUGUGACGCCUGCCCGGUGCCGGAAGGUUAAUUGAUGGGGUUAGCGGUAACGCGAAGCUCUUGAUCGAAGCCCCGGUAAACGGCGGCCGUAACUAUAACGGUCCUAAGGUAGCGAAAUUCCUUGUCGGGUAAGUUCCGACCUGCACGAAUGGCGUAAUGAUGGCCAGGCUGUCUCCACCCGAGACUCAGUGAAAUUGAACUCGCUGUGAAGAUGCAGUGUACCCGCGGCAAGACGGAAAGACCCCGUGAACCUUUACUAUAGCUUGACACUGAACAUUGAGCCUUGAUGUGUAGGAUAGGUGGGAGGCUUUGAAGUGUGGACGCCAGUCUGCAUGGAGCCGGCCUUGAAAUACCACCCUUUAAUGUUUGAUGUUCUAACGUUGGCCCCUGAUCGGGGUUGCGGACAGUGUCUGGUGGGUAGUUUGACUGGGGCGGUCUCCUCCUAAAGAGUAACGGAGGAGCACGAAGGUUGGCUAAUCCUGGUCGGACAUCAGGAGGUUAGUGCAAUGGCAUAAGCCAGCUUGACUGCGAGCGUGACGGCGCGAGCAGGUGCGAAAGCAGGUCAUAGUGAUCCGGUGGUUCUGAAUGGAAGGGCCAUCGCUCAACGGAUAAAAGGUACUCCGGGGAUAACAGGCUGAUACCGCCCAAGAGUUCAUAUCGACGGCGGUGUUUGGCACCUCGAUGUCGGCUCAUCACAUCCUGGGGCUGAAGUAGGUCCCAAGGGUAUGGCUGUUCGCCAUUUAAAGUGGUACGCGAGCUGGGUUUAGAACGUCGUGAGACAGUUCGGUCCCUAUCUGCCGUGGGCGCUGGAGAACUGAGGGGGCUGCUCCUAGUACGAGAGGACCGGAGUGGACGCAUCACUGGUGUUCGGGUUGUCAUGCCAAUGGCACUGCCCGGUAGCUAAAUGCGGAAGAGAUAAGUGCUGAAAGCAUCUAAGCACGAAACUUGCCCCGAGAUGAGUUCUCCCUGACUCCUUGAGAGUCCUGAAGGAACGUUGAAGACGACGACGUUGAUAGGCCGGGUGUGUAAGCGCAGCGAUGCGUUGAGCUAACCGGUACUAAUGAACCGUGAGGCUUAACCUU